GAUUUUGGAGAGGAAUGGAAAUCAGGAAAACAGCCAUUUACACAUGCAUGUGUAUGUUCACUAGAGCACUAUUCACAAUGGCAAAGACAUGGAAUCAACCGAGGUGCCCAUCAGUGGCGGACUGGAUAAAUGAAAAUGUGGUACAUACACUAUGGAAUAUUAUGCAGCCCUGAAAAGAAUGAAAUUGUGUUCUUUGCAGCAAUGUGGGUGCAGCUGGUGGCCAUUAUCCUAAGCAUAAUGCAGGAACAGAAAACCUAAUGUAGCAGGCCACGUCUCACUAACACCGGCCUCCGUAACAACUAUUUCAGCACUGACUGAAUGGUUAAGUUAAAUAUUAAAAGGUGAAAGAGCCAGUGUCUUUAUACAAAGGCUGGAAUGUAACAAAAGCCUACAAAGAGUUUUGCCCAGGCCCUUUCUGGGCCUUGAAGCAUGACAAGAUAAAGAAGGAAUCCUUAACAGGACCUGUUCAGGGUUAAACAAGUUUUAUUGGGAGUCUGAAGAAACUCAGAUCUCCACAAACAAGUUUAUUGGGGGUCUGAAGGAACUGCCCAAACCUCCAUGAUUUAGCAGGUGACAAGAUAAGGGUCAUCACUCCUGGCACCUGGACCCAUCUAGAUUAAAUAAAUUUACUGAGACUCCAGAGGAAGGUCUUCAGGACUCAGACCUUCAACUUUCCUUUAGCAGAGCUAUUCCUUUAAAAAAAAAAUGUUUUGCCUUUCUCUCCCCACCCUCAACUUCAAAUCUCCCAUGUAGCUGUUUUUGUCCUGGAUUUUGGUACCUAGGUCCCUGGGGCAUCCCCACUUCUUCAGGGCUCUCCUGUGGCUGCCCCACAUGGAAGGCACAGCAGUUGCUUCCUAGGCACAUGUAACUUACGGGAAUUCAUAUCCAACCUUGAGCAUCCAGACUUUUGCAUCAUCGUGGUAGACAGCGGUGGAGGCAGCCAGACCUGGACCAGUGCAAGCAAGACCUGUGGAAUGAACAUAUGGGUCCUGACCCGUGGCAGAGAGAGUACAGCCCAUCUGCAAAUGGCCAGGCAGGAUUUAAGGAAAGCUUUCACGUGUUAAAAAAGGUCAAGAAAACAACAAAAGGAGAGAGAAACGGAAACAUGGCUCUACCCUCUCUCGCAGCCAUGACUCAAAGGCAGCCCUGGCGUUUGUCCUGUUUUGUGGCUCACUCUAGGCAUCGCGAGGGCAGAGUGCAGUGCAGGAUGUGGGAGAACGGCCGGCAGGCAGUGAUCACAUUUCUGUUUGUAAGGAGAGAUGGAAAAAUUGUCCAGAAGAGGAGAGGUUCUUCAUUUUCCUUAGUAAUUUGCAAAGAGAAACUCUGGGCCUUUUCCAGAGGGUGAGAUUUAUCAGCAAGGAGGCGUCAGUUGAUGGUUGAGCAUUGUUCCUUAUCAGUGAUUUCUCCCUCUGACUCACCUCCUCCCAUAUUCUCAGUCCACAGUAGUUGUCACCCUGUAGAAGGUGUGGAACCCCAGGGCCACCUCACAGUGCCAUUUUGACCCUGAUCUCAGUGGCUCCUAUUUGCAUUGAGGAACCACAAGGUGGCAUUUUCUUGUUUGAGUCUCACCUUAAUGGAAAGGAAGGUCAGAGUGGUGAAAGUGAUGAUGAGACCUAGCUUUGAGAUGGAACCUUUGAUUUACCCAGAUUCUGCAAUUCUAUUUUAAAAGAAUACCAAAAGUUGCCUCACCUAUAAGAAAUGUCUUGUGUCAUGAAAGAGUAUUUCACAAAAGUUAGUCUACAUGCCAAAAUUCCUGUACUUUCUGUGCCAGAAAGUGAGGAACCCAGGUGAGGAAACACCGGUCAGGAGCUCUUCCUGCCCAGCCAGUGUUGGGAAGCGUCUCGGGGUUCGGUGCAGUCUGCAGCUGCUCACUGGCAGGGCCAGGUCCGAUUUGCUGCUGUCUCCAAUGCCAGGUGCAACCAGGUGGCUUCACAGGCUUGCAGCCUGUGCCAUGGUUCAGGGCCCCGUAAUCAGAAAGCCCUGUGCUUGGUUUAAUGCUGUGCUGUCACCAGCUUGGAAUCCUGAAUAAUUUUAUCUUAAAAUUUUUUUUAUUGUGGUAAAAUAUAUUUAACAUAAAAUUUACCAUUUUAGCCAUUUUUAAGCGCACAGUUCAGUGGCGUUGAGGACAUUUGCCAUGUUCCACAGCCAUCACCACCAUCCAUCUGCAGAACUUUUUCAUCGUUCCACGCAGAAAUGCUGUACUUACCAAUCAAUAACUCCACCAUCCCCCAUUCCCCCAGCCCCUGGUAACUUCUAUUUUACCUCUAUCUCUGUGAAUUUUACUACUCUAGGAGCCUUAUAUAGCAGAAUCAUAUAGUAUUAGCCUUUUGUGUCUGGCUCAUUUCCCUAGCGUAAUGUCCUCAAGGUUCAUUCACCGUGGAGCGUGAAUCAGGAUUUAUCAUUCCUUUUUAACGCUGGAUCCAGACAUUCAGCUUGCUUCCACCUUUUGGCUAUUGUGAAUAAUGCUGCUAUAAACCGUGGUGUACAAGUUGGUAUUGGUUUCUAAUUAAUUUGAAAAGAUUAUUUAAAACAUUAGUAGAUAAAAACCAUUAAAACCCAAGGACAAUGGGAAGAAAAUGGCAAAAAAAAAAAAAAAAAAAAGGAUACUGAAUGGUAACAUACAGGGAAUAUCUGUUUCUUCCUUAUUCACUUAUGUCAACCUGUUCAUCCAUUAGCAGUUAUCAGAUAGCGCAUAGAUUUAAUAGUAGCUUUAGGGGUGGGAGGAGAGGGAUAAACACACACUAAAUAUACCUACUGACUGUAGGAUGCAUCCCAAUUUCAGAAAUGUUAAAUAUGCACCUUAAUGUUGAUAAUCAUAAAAGCUGGAUGAUAGGUAUGCAUUCUAUUUUUUAAUAGGUUUGAAAUUUUAGUAAGAAAAUUUAAAAAUAAUUUGAAAAUAUUUAAAAAGUAUAUAUUGGAGUAGGGGUAAGAGGGUUCAUUCUACCUUCUCACUGAGCCCACCUUUCCUGGCUCAGUCUCCAUCCCCAGGGUUUGGGAAUUUGGGACCUGGUACAAGUCCCUGGGGCCUGACAGGGGCUGAGGGGCCCCAGGAAGUUUCCCAGGGCCCUGAAGAUUUAUAGGCAAGCCACCUUGGGGUCAUUUCCUCCCCUCUACCCUCUGGCCCCAUUCGCUGUACUGAAGUGAAUUCCAGUAAGAUUAACAAGCUUGAUAAGGAAAGAGAGGAGAAGAGGGAGGAGCUCUUAGACUUGUUCCUGGGAAAUAAACUUCUGUCUCUUGCCACUCUGGAGGGCCAGCAAUAGCUGAGCUGCCAGGGAGUGGUGGUUGGGCUGCAAAGUGAGACUUCCUUCAGUCCCCCACCCCCACUUCCUUAUAUUAGGAAUUUUAACAAAAGGAGGAACAUGAAACCAGAUAGUAAUAGUCUAUCAGCCUUUCAUGCAGUCCUGGGAAAUCUGCUUGAGAAGCCACAUGUCAGAGUUAUAGGGGUCCGGCCUUGCAUUGGCUGGGAGGAUCUCCUGAUCCCUUGGAAGAAAGCUAGUCUUGCUCUUAUUGGAAGGGAGCAGACCCAAGUGAUUGCAUGGCUCUGGGACACUGGAGUGCAUUUCUACCACCAUGGCCUUCCAGCCUCUGCCCGGCCCUUGGCAGGCAGCGUGUGUGGCUUCUCGAAACUGUCUGCGAAGUUUGGAAGAAAGUCCUGACUUUAGGAAAAUAGGAAAGACAGUCCAUGGCACAGCCAACAAAAUCUGUGUGUGAGUGUCUGCCCUGUAAAGAACAGGCCACAAGGCCUGCACCUGGUUCAGAUUAUCCAACUCAGCCAUCCCAGGGGUGGCAGUUCAGAUGUGAUUGAAAAAGUGUGAAAGCUUCUUAAUCCUGCAGAAAAAUCACACUUUCUGUAGUAGCAGCUCAUUCCUGGUUUGGAUCUUAAGACUGUGCUCUGAAAUUCUAGAAGGGAGGAUUUACCAACUCUCCCAUGGCAACUGUCUGGAAAUCGACUGGCCAGAGUGACCACGGGCUCCUAUCUUCUAGGUCAGGCCUCAGCCAACUCUUUUCCUCCCCUCCAUCUCUGCAGGCCACCACCUCUCUCUGUUUACCAUGGGCACAUCUUUUUUAUUUUCUAGAACAAUUUUUGAGAAAAAAAGUCAAGAAGUUACUGCUUUUUUUUUUUUUUUUUGAGGUGGAGUCUCACUCUUUUUGUCCAGGCUGGAGUUCAGUGGCACAAUUUCAGCUCACUGCAACCACUGCCUCCCAGGUUCAAGCAAUUCUCCUGCCUCAGACUCCCAAGUAGCUGGGAUUACAGGCAUGUACUACUAUGCCUGGCUAAUUUUUGUAUUUUUUAAAUAUAUAUUUUUAUUGAGGUUUAGGUUCCGGGGUACAUGUGCAGAUCAUGCAGGAUUGUUGCAUAGGUGCAUACAUGGCAAUGUGGUUUGCUGCCUCCAUCCCCUAAUUUUUGUAUUCUUUAGUAGAGACAGGGUUUCACCAUGUUGGCUAGGCUGAUCUUGAACUGACUUCAAGUGAUCCUUGGGGCUUGGCCUCCCAAAGUGCUGGGAUUACAGGAGUGAGCCACCUUGCCUGGCCAAGAAGUUAUCUCUAGCUCUGCAAACAAUGCAUUCUGGGCAAUACAGAUCUGUUCUAAGGGUUGGUGAAAUGGGGUGGGAAAGGGGGGCAUAAUGUCCUAACAUGACGGAGCUGGAACAAUAAGAGCUGGCAUUAAAAAAAAUUUUAAUAAAUACCAACCUUGGUGCCUCAUUUCAUUUACUCCUUACCACAAACUACUAGAGAUAGUAUCCUGAUUUUUUAUGGGUGAAGUCAGGUUAAGUAACUUGUCCCUGGCCACAUGCAUUGUAAAUGGCAGCACUGACAUUCAACUCAGCCCCAUCUCAGCUCAGGGCCCACGUUCUAUCACUAAGCUACCCCCAAAAGGACUUUGGAGAGCACCUUGCUUAGAGCUCCGGGGUUCCAAGGGACUCCCUCAAAGUCACGUAAUUAGCUAAUGAAAAAGCUGAGAUGAGAAGCCAGAUGCCCUGUCUCCUGAGCCAGGGUAACAUGAUUGACAGAGUUUGUGACUGUGCCCUUAGAGUCAGGGUCACCUCAGGUAAGCUGAUGAUGAUUGCCGAGCUGCCAGGUCUCCAUCUGUAGAACCGGCAUGGCAGAGACCCACCUUAUAGUUUGCAGCGC
ensembl:lncRNA